AGUUUUGAAUUUAAAAACUUAGUAUACUUUUUGGCCAAAGAGUAAGUUAGUAUAGGGGAGGGAAAGCCAAAACUUCCCAUCGAAAUCAACAUAUAAGAGGCUUUGUAGGGUUGGUUGUUUGGUUAUCUGGCCGGCGGAAUCGGAAACAAUAAUGGAGGAUGUACUACCUCAGGAACCAACGCCAGCGGUGGACCCACCACAGCAGGAGGAGGUACCGACACAGGAGGUGGUACAACCACUUCAAGGGGAAUUACCUCCUCCUGUACUUCCUCGUCAACGUUCACGCCGGCGACGUGGUAUUACCAAGGAGGAGGCUCGCCAGCAACUCAUAGAAUUAAGCAAAAAAAAAUUGGAAAUCGAAAGAAAAAAUUCCGAAGCAUUGAAACAAAUACUUGUUGCAAUUAAUAAAAUUGCUGAUAAAAUCGACAUGAUUACCUACGUGAGGCGGAGUGACGACGGCGCUCCUAACAACUAACUCAACUCUCAAUUCAUUGGCGCUACGUUUCGCAGCCUGUCCACAGUGAGGCUGUGACUGUUGCAUAGUUGCUUCAUGCACCAACUCGUUCUCUGACAAUUGAGAUUGUGAUUUAUUGAAGAAGAAUGAAGAAGCUCUUACACAAUUAUAGUUAUUAAGUUUUUUGUUUUAUUAUAAUUCAUAUUACAUUACUUUUGUUACUUUUGAUUGAAAUAAAUUCUUAUAAUUAA